GCAGUGGUGGUUCGGUGGUAGAAUUCUCUCCUUCUGUGCGGGGGACCCAGGUUUGAUUCCUGCCCAGUGUA
rnacentral:tRNA from 1 species